GAUUUAGAAAAUGGACAGGGAUC
rnacentral:piRNA from 1 species